GUAGGUGGCAAGCGUUGUCCGGAUUUACUGGGCGUAAAGGAUGCGUAGGCGGAUUUUUAAGUGAGAUGUGAAAUACCCGGGCUUAACUUGGGUGCUGCAUUUCAAACUGGGAAUCUAGAGUGCGGGAGAGGAGAAUGGAAUUCCUAGUGUAGCGGUGAAAUGCGUAGAGAUUAGGAAGAACACCAGUGGCGAAGGCGAUUCUCUGGACCAUAACUGACGCUGAGGCAUGAAAGCGUGGGGUAGCAAACAGGAUUAGAUACCCUGGUAGUCCACACCGUAAACGAUGAGUACUAGGUGUAGGAGGUAUCGACUCCUUCUGUGCCGCAGUUAACACAAUAAGUACUCCGCCCUGGGAAGUACGAUCGCAAGAUUA
rnacentral:rRNA from 1 species